rnacentral:rRNA from 1 species
GAUGAACGCUAGCGGCAGGCCUAAUACAUGCAAGUCGAACGGAUAUAUGUUUUUCGGAAUAUAUAUUAGUGGCGCACGGGUGAGUAACACGUACAUAACUUGCCCUCAAGCGGGGGAUAGCCUUGGGAAACUGAGAGUAAUACCCCAUAGAAUUAUUGGACGGCAUCGUUUGAUAAUUAAAACUACGGUGCUUGGGGAUAGAUGUGCGUCUGAUUAGCUAGUUGGUGAGGUAACUGCUCACCAAGGCGACGAUCAGUAGGGGGCGUGAGAGCGUGGCCCCCCACACGGGUACUGAGACACGGACCCGACUCCUACGGGAGGCAGCAGUAAGGAAUAUUGGUCAAUGGAGGGAACUCUGAACCAGCCAUGCCGCGUGAAGGAUGACGGCCCUCUGGGUUGUAAACUUCUUUUGGGAUGGGGACGAAAAACGGGAUUUAUCCUGGACUGACGGUACCAUCAGAAUAAGCACCGGCUAACUCCGUGCCAGCAGCC